rnacentral:misc_RNA from 1 species
GAUGAAGAACGUAGUGAAAUGCGAUAAGUAAUGUGAAUUGCAGAAUUCAAUGAAUCAUCGAAUCUUUGAACGCACAUUGCGCCCGCCAGUAUUCUGGCGGGCAUGCCUGUCCGAGCGUCAUUUCAACCCUCGAACCCCUCCGGGGGGUCGGCGUUGGGGAUCGGCCCUGCCUCUUGGCGGUGGCCGUCUCCGAAAUACAGUGGCGGUCUCGCCGCAGCCUCUCCUGCGCAGUAGUUUGCACACUCGCAUCGGGAGCGCGGCGCGUCCACAGCCGUUAAACACCCAACUUCUGAAAUGUUGACCUCGGAUCAGGUAGGAAUACCCGCUGAACUUAAGCAUAUCAAUAAGCGGAGGA